AGUCACUGACAUUAGAUACCCCCUGUAGUCCAGGGUGUAAACGCUGCCGACUUGGUGUUGGAGGCCCUUCGGGGGCAUUCAGUGCCGGAGAGAAGUUGUUAAGUCGGCCACUUGGGGGAGUACGUCCCGCAAGGAUGAAACUUAAAGGAAUUGGCGGGGGAGCACCGCAACGGGAGGAGCGUGCGGUUUAAUUGGAUUCAACACCGUAAAACUCACCAGGGAAGACUGUUACAUGAAGGCCGAGAUGAAGACUCUGCUAGAUUUUCAG
rnacentral:rRNA from 1 species